GUGUCAUACAUAUAUGAUGUGUGUUUUCUUUCACAGAUUACCCUCAUGGAAUCACGAUAUUGUCUCCGUUCUCGUCAGAGAAGAAGCAGGUGGUGAGUUUCUGCUCUCAGAGCGCAGAGGAGCUGCUCAAGUUUGUAGAGGACCUGAGAGAGAGCAUCACAGAGGUGGCAGAGAUGGAACAAAUACGGAUUGAGUGGGAACUAGAAAGACAACAGGUUGUGAGAAAUCAAACUAACAAGAACGACACACAACUAGACAUCCACGCUGGACUUAGUUCUGCUUCAGGGGAUGAUAUUUAUGAGAAAACGGGAAGCAAUGCAGUAGAGGCUCCAAACGUACCAACUCAGCUCUACUCUGGCCCCACCCAGCGCUCAGCAACACCUGGCCGUCCUGCCUAGCCCCGCCCCUGGCUCCGCCCUCACCAUCUCCCCCGACACCCUGAUCCAGUGCCAGCAGAUCGUGAAGGUGAUCGUCGU
rnacentral:lncRNA from 1 species